CAGGAACUCAUGAGAUUCUUUGGUGCCUACAAAUUCUGAUCUCCUUUAAAGGUCAUGAAAACUGUGAGAACCCCAUUAGAGCUAAAAGAGUUUUAAGUCCUAUCAAGGGCUCAUCCUCGGUCAUUGUGCUGAUUUUGAUGUAAAGGACAUCGCAAGGCUCAACCUGCUUUAAAAACUUCCUCAGUAGGGCAUUUCCUUCCUACAUGGUUUGACAUACAUUCAUAACAAAGGGUCUAAUUUUUUCUCAUCUGUAAUAUGAGGAAAUUUGUUACCAGUGGCAAAUCUGUGCAAAUCUGCAGCAACCUCAAUUCUUGUCUCCUCAGAAGAAAGAAGUGAACUGAGGGGCAUAAGGCAGAAGG